UAAAAUUGUUUGGCGCACGUGUUUCCUUUUGUUUCCGUGUUUAUAUUGACGGUAAACGUUUUGUCUGUGCGUUUGUGGGGACAGAGGAGAAGAGCAUUGCUUAUUUUGGCUGGUCAUCGGGUGUGGACUCGGCGUGGAUCCUCGGCUGCAGUUUGUUUACGCAGGUAGCAGGAGAGUCAGUUAACAGGGAAACCGAACCAGUCUGUGAAGCCUGUUCCUCUGCAACCGAUACCAGCCGUAAGUGAACCUUUCGAACAUCUUAUAGUCGAUUGUGUUGGCCCUUUACCGUGUUCAAAAUCUGGCAGUAAGUAUCUUCUUACAGUGAUGUACCAAAGCAUGUUAUCCUGCUGCGUAUCUGCUGAGGUCCAUUACAGCUAAAUCUGUGGUAAAGGUGUGUGAUGGCCCGAUCUGCAACUUGGACCAUGCAGUGUUAGUAUCGUUUCUUUUCAUUUCAAACAAAUGGUCACCCACACAGUUUUGGUUAAAUGUUUAUUUAGCUUCUUUGAUUUACAUUGUGAUGGUGUUACCAAUUUGAGUGGACGCAUUUUGGUUACAUUUAGUCAUGAGUUCAUCAAAUUGGCUUAAAUUAUUAAUUCUUUGUACCUUUGUCUCUGUUGCUCCACAUGCUGCUGAGGUCCUGGCGAAAGGGAGAGGUGGAGUUUAAGAUGGCCUUUUAUGCUGGCAGUCAGGAACUGGAAGGUGCCAACUCCCAGUGCUGUGAAGGGGAGUGCUGAAGUGCAGAGGCCUCAAGAAAAGCAGCCUCCGUGUUUUGACCGGCCGUUUAUGCUGCAGGUGGAUGCCAGUCAGGUGGGAGCAGGAGCAGUCUUGCUGCAGGGGGAUGACCAUGGGGUGGUGAGACCAGUUAGCUUCUUCUCGAAAAAAUUCAACCGUUAUCAGAGCAAUUAUUCUGUGAUCGAGAAAGAAGCACUGGCUUUGAUCUGGGCAUUGCAACAUUUUGACGUAUACGUGAGUGGGGCGCCCCUAGUGGUGUAUACUGAUCACAAUCCCCUUACAUUCUUGAAGUCUCUUAGGUUCCCCACUCAGAGAUUGGUUAGGUGGUCUUUAUUUUUGCAGGGCUAUGCCCUCACUGUUUUGCAUAUUAAGGGGACAGAAAACGUCAUGGCGGAUGCUUUGUCCCGUGCACCUAUGCCAUGACCUCUGACCUUUAGAGUUCCCUUCAUAAUGUUUUAUUGAUGCCUUGUGUGUUGUUGUUGCUGCGCUGCUCUCCUCUCUUAAUCUGCUUCUCAGGUACCGGGGUUGCUGAGAGUGGGUGGGGUAGUCUACGCGGCACACUGUUGGGCAGACAUAAACAUUGGACCGGAUGGGAUUUGUAUAUAUUUGUUCUUGCUUAUCGCUGGUAUUGAGGAUUUGAUAUUUAUAGUUAUGGGUUAUUUGUUAAUGGGUCACUGUGGUUUUGUAGAUUUGGUAUUGGUGAUUUGGAGCCGGUGACUCCCUUGGAGCCCCGACUUUAUGGGGGGGUGUGACGGCCCCCGUGUAUAUGUGUGAUAGAGGAGUUAAUGACAUGUG
ensembl:lncRNA